UACAGAGGGUGCGAGCGUUGUCCGGAAUCACUGGGCGUAAAGGGCGCGUAGGUGGUGGCUUAAGCGUGCGGUGAAAGCUCGGGGCUCAACUCCGAGUCGGCCGUACGAACUGGGCUCACUGGAGCAUAGUAGAGGCAGGUGGAAUUCCGGGUGUAGCGGUGGAAUGCGUAGAGAUCCGGAAGAACACCGGUGGCGAAGGCGGCCUGCUGGGCUAUGGCUGACACUGAGGCGCGACAGCGUGGGGAGCAAACAGG
rnacentral:rRNA from 1 species